rnacentral:rRNA from 1 species
AGUUGUGAACGGGUGAGUAACGCGUAGGUAACCUGCCUCAUAGCGGGGGAUAACUAUUGGAAACGAUAGCUAAUACCGCAUAACAGUAUUUACUGCAUGGUAGAUACUUGAAAGGAGCAAUUGCUUCACUAUGAGAUGGACCUGCGUUGUAUUAGCUAGUUGGUGGGGUAACGGCUCACCAAGGCAUCGAUACAUAGCCGACCUGAGAGGGUGAUCGGCCACACUGGGACUGAGACACGGCCCAGACUCCUACGGGAGGCAGCAGUAGGGAAUCUUCGGCAAUGGGGGCAACCCUGACCGAGCAACGCCGCGUGAGUGAAGAAGGUUUUCGGAUCGUAAAGCUCUGUUGUAAGAGAAGAACGUGUGUGAGAGUGGAAAGUUCACACAGUGACGGUAUCUUACCAGGAAGGGACGGCUAACUACGUGCCAGCAGCCGCGGUAAUACGUAGGUCCCGAGCGUUGUCCGGAUUUAUUGGGCGUAAAGCGAGCGCAGGCGGUUUGAUAAGUCUGAAGUAAAAGGCUGUGGCUUAACCAUAGUACGCUUUGGAAACUGUCAAACUUGAGUGCAGAAGGGGAGAGUGGAAUUCCAUGUGUAGCGGUGAAAUGCGUAGAUAUAUGGAGGAACACCGGUGGCGAAAGCGGCUCUCUGGUCUGUAACUGACGCUGAGGCUCGAAAGCGUGGGGAGCGAACAGGAUUAGAUACCCUGGUAGUCCACGCCGUAAACGAUGAGUGCUAGGUGU